rnacentral:rRNA from 1 species
GACGAACGCUGGCGGCGUGCUUAACACAUGCAAGUCGAACGGAAAGGCCCUUCGGGGUACUCGAGUGGCGAACGGGUGAGUAACACGUGGGUGAUCUGCCCUGCACUUUGGGAUAAGCCUGGGAAACUGGGUCUAAUACCGAAUAGGACCACGCGCUUCAUGGUGUGUGGUGGAAAGCUUUUGCGGUGUGGGAUGGGCCCGCGGCCUAUCAGCUUGUUGGUGGGGUAAUGGCCUACCAAGGCGACGACGGGUAGCCGGCCUGAGAGGGUGACCGGCCACACUGGGACUGAGAUACGGCCCAGACUCCUACGGGAGGCAGCAGUGGGGAAUAUUGCACUAUGGGCGCAAGCCUGAUGCAGCGACGCCGCGUGAGGGAUGACGGCCUUCGGGUUGUAAACCUCUUUCAAUAGGGACGAAGCGCAAGUGACGGUACCUAUAGAAGAAGCACCGGCCAACUACGUG